rnacentral:rRNA from 1 species
AUACGGAGGAUGCAAGCGUUAUCCGGAUUCAUUGGGUUUAAAGGGUGCGUAGGCGGACUAUUAAGUCAGUGGUGAAAUCCUGCAGCUUAACUGCAGAACUGCCAUUGAUACUGAUGGUCUUGAGUUUGGUUAAGGUAGGCGGAAUGUGUAAUGUAGCGGUGAAAUGCUUAGAUAUUACACAGAACACCAAUUGCGUAGGCAGCUUACUGAGCCGACACUGACGCUGAGGCACGAAAGCGUGGGGAUCAAACAGGAUUAGAUACCCUGGUAGUCCACGCCGUAAACGAUGAUCACUGGAUGCCGGCGAUACACCGUCGGCGUCUGAGCGAAAGCAUUAAGUGAUCCACCUGGGGAGUACGAUCGCAAGGUUGAA